rnacentral:piRNA from 1 species
UCUGCGGGUGCCCUGUCUUCUCCAG